CGUACUGUUUUGCUGAAUCUCAUUUAUGAGAGCGGAGGAUAAAAAUGGGGUGAAUUGGGAUAAACCCAUAGGGCACUCUCUGUCCGAACCCGACAACUAACUUCGUAAGCGUAAGAGAGGAGAGUA
rnacentral:sRNA from 2 species